UUUGUUCCUGGACUCUUCAGUGAUGACGAGCAGAGUCUGAGUGAACCUGCUGUCAGACAGGUUGGCCUGAUUGACGAUGUCAUCGUCCAUCGCCGAUGGCUGAUAGACAUCACGAUGCUGCGCUGGCAAACAGCGUCAUCAGCUGCAGUAUCUCGCCCGUGCAUUUGUUGUCAUGCGGAGAAGUCACGUUCUAUAGACAGUUUCUAUAGACAGUUGUGAACGUGCUGACAGCUGGUUGCCCAGGCUAUGGAUUAAAGGAUGGCCAUCCCAAGGUUUCUAGAGAUUACAGCAGCUCCAGACUGAAUCCAAACUCACUCGUGAAGACUUCAGAUGAGACCAACGCUCACAAAGACUACAGACGACAACUGUACAUGAACACACAAAAC